GACGAACGCUGGCGGCGGGCUUAACACAUGCAAGUCGAACGGAAAGGCCCUGCUUUUGUGGGGUGCUCGAGUGGCGAACGGGUGAGUAACACGUGAGUAACCUGCCCUUGACUUUGGGAUAACUUCAGGAAACUGGGGCUAAUACCGGAUAGGAGCUCCUGCUGCAUGGUGGGGGUUGGAAAGUUUCGGCGGUUGGGGAUGGACUCGCGGCUUAUCAGCUUGUUGGUGGGGUAGUGGCUGACCAAGGCUUUGACGGGUAGCCGGCCUGAGAGGGUGAACGGCCACAUUGGGACUGAGAUACGGCCCAGAGUGCUACGGGGGGCAGCAGUGGGGAAUAUUGCACAAUGGGUGGACGCCUGAUGCAGCAACGCCGCGUGCGGGAUGACGGCCUUCGGGUUGUAAACCGCUUUCGCCUGUGACGAAGCGUGAGUGACGGUAAUGGGUAAAGAAGCACCGGCUAACUACGUG
rnacentral:rRNA from 1 species